rnacentral:sRNA from 1 species
CAGUGGCCAAACGAAGCGUUGUGCAACG